UGAGAGAAGUAAUCACAUUUUGUCAGCAUAAAUUAUUGGUUCCUAGACACAGAAACAGUUUUCCUUUGUUUUUUCAGUUCUGGAGCAUGAACACAGAGUUUUUAGCAUGACAGGCAAAACACUCGACACCUGAGGCUUUGCUGUGUUACUGGGCAGGCCUGUGUGACAUGGGCCUCAGCAACCACACAAGGUCAAACACUGCAGGAUCAACUCUGGACCCUGUUCUCGUCAGAGAGGAAGGCAGACUAUGGGCAAUCACUGCCCUAUCACCCAGGCUUAGGAAACGAGGUGGUGGUUCACGCCACACUGAAAUCAGGAUGCAAAGGUUUUGGUUCUGGUGAUCCAUGAAACAGGGCCAUGGGUAGGUGCCAUGGGUCAGUGUCUAAAGUAGCAGUCUUCAGAGAGUUCCUGGACAAGGGAUCACAUGGAGAAAGCUGCCAUGUUUUCCUCUAGCAGACGGAGCACAAUAACCUACAGAGCUGCUGGUGGAAUGCAGAGGGAACUGGAGCACUUUCCAUGACUCUUCGGCUCUGUGAUACAUGCUCAGGCACCUGCCUAGCAAUUGUGAUGGAGAAACUCCCAAACUCUGUGUUGAACCAUGGGGAUCAGGGAGUAUCCUGACAAGGACUGAGAGUUUCAAGAAGAGCCAGGCUCAAGCUUCAAGGAGACAUACGCCUGACCACCCACCAGCCAACAAUGCAACUCUGGAUACAAGUGCCUGUGCCUAUGAAGUCCUGGUCAAGCCAGUCAAGAAUGGUUCAAUCAUCCCAGAUCCUGACUUUUGUUUGCAACAGGUACUGGAACUUGGACCAACACCAACAGGAGCACAAGAAUCCAACCAGCUGCAGGGUGGAGAGCAGAGACAACUG
rnacentral:lncRNA from 1 species